CAAGACUUGGGAGAGAAUCGUAAUGUUAAAGGUCUCUUUCCGUUUGUCUCCAGUGUCGAGUCCGUUACACAUGUUGGCUGCUCACGCCUCGGCGUCCGCCUCGCUCCCCACGAAGCGGCAGAACGGAGAAAACGGCAGCGGGCCGCCGGAGAGCAAACGAUUGAAAACCGAGGACGAAGAGCACGCAGUCACCACCGGUCCAGUGUCGAGUCCGUUACACAUGUUGGCUGCUCACGCCUCGGCAUCCGCCUCGCUCCCCACGAAGCGGCAGAACGGAGAAAACGGCAGCGGGCCGCCGGAGAGCAAACGAUUGAAAACCGAGGACGAAGAGCACGCAGUCACCACCGGCCCGAACGGAACCGCUGCGGACACAAGCUCCACCAACCAGCACAACUACUCACGGUGCCAAAACUCAAGGCUUGGACAAUAACUCUUUGAACCGAAGCAAAAACGUCAAAGAAGAACCAAAUGCAUAAAAUGCUAUCCGUUACUGUCUUUUUCCGCAGCAACCCUUCUGCCUGCUUUCCGUUUUAUCACUCGAACGCCUGAUUGAACAAAAACUCGCACCUCGAAACUCAAGAGCAACUGCCAUCUGGUCCAUAACUGGCCAUUUUAUUACAGACUUCAACAGAUGUUGGAGGCAAUCGAUCGGCUCGGAUUCCGUUCUUUGGGAGUCAUGGUGAUUUUUAGCCAAAACUGGAGGGAAAAAUGCACGCUAUCCCGGAGGUUUUGCGACGUGCGUUGCCCUCCGGAUGUGCAGAUGUUGAUCCCAUCUUGACCUCGAAACCUCGGAAAUUCUAGAACCUCCGGAAUCCGUGUGUUGCUCACAGCACACUGAGAAUUCCAGAACUCCCGCUUGCGGAAUCCGGAUUUUUUUUUUUGCUGCUGACAGCAGAACACAGGCUUCGAUCCAACAUUCCAAAGUUUGGCAGUCCACUACGGAAGGUGAAAAACCAAGAGGAUGUCCUGGAAUGCAAUUACACACCAUGAACCACAAAUAGGUUGUCGUUAUUUUUAAAUAGUGCAUACUAGGGCUAAACGUGGAGCCAAAGGGAUCAAAAUAUUCCGAAACACAUCCUGAACUUUCGGCAGCUAGCCUGACAGCAUCCCCCACAAUCCCCUGCAGCCAUCGUAGUGGAUAAUAUGCAGUAUUUUGUUGUUCAUACGUGGAGCAUAGGAUCUGGGCGUGUUACGUUUUAAAAAGUAAUAAUAACAAUAUAUAUAAGCAGAAGUGGACAUGGGACGUCCGGACUGUGUCAGUUUUCUGUUUUGUGAAACUAAGCGUAGUUUCUUUUCUAAAAUGGAUUAAAAUGUAUCAAUGGAGUAUUUCCUUCCUAUGUUUUUCCUUUUCUGUUUAUUUUUAAAUCUGAGCAAAGCCGGCUUUGUUACACUGACAUAUUUUCAUACAGGUGCUCGAGUGGAUGUGUCAUUUCCAUGUGUAGUCGAACUGUUUUCAUCCAGCUUGCAUGUAACGGACUAGACAAACACAUACCUGAGCUGCCGAUUUAAACAUGUAAUCUAGAAAAAAAAUUAAAUAAAAAAUACCCCACCCCCAAGAUACAAGAAACUGCAUUGAAUCAGACCAGAUCUGCACUUGAUUAGACUGUUCUUUUUGUUGACUUUUUCCCUGUUUCGUUCCCUUUUCUUUUUAGGCUGUAUCGGUGUAGGCUUGAUGAUUUGAUUCUGGUCAGAGUCUGACGGAUUAUAUAUGUUUCAAACAAAAGCAAAAAAAAAAAUAUGAUUGAUGUUUGUUCUGCUUCAGUGGGUCAAUGCUUUUUUUUUUUUCUUUUUAUAAAUUAAUUUAAAACCUUAUUCUUAUGAUGUUCUUGUCUUUUC
rnacentral:lncRNA from 1 species